rnacentral:piRNA from 1 species
UGUAAAUUCCUGUUACAGAAAGAACGCC